rnacentral:rRNA from 1 species
AGCGCAGACGGAACUGCAAGUCUGAUGUGAAAGCCCGGGGCUCAACCGCGGGACUGCAUCGGAUACUGUAGAUCUGGAGUGCCGGAGGGGCAAGCGGAAUUCCUGGUGUAGCGGUGAAAUGCGUAGAUAUCAGGAGGAACACCGGCGGCGAAGGCGGCUUGCUGGACGGCAACUGACGUUGAGGCUCGAAAGCGUGGGGAGCAAACAG